CCUACGGGUCGCACCAGUGGGGAAUAUUGCACAAUGGGCGCAAGCCUGAUGCAGCCAUGCCGCGUGUAUGAAGAAGGCCUUCGGGUUGUAAAGUACUUUCAGCGGGGAGGAAGGCGGUGAGGUUAAUAACCUCACCGAUUGACGUUACCCGCAGAAGAAGCACCGGCUAACUCCGUGCCAGCAGCCGCGGUAAUACGGAGGGUGCAAGCGUUAAUCGGAAUUACUGGGCGUAAAGCGCACGCAGGCGGUCUGUCAAGUCGGAUGUGAAAUCCCCGGGCUCAACCUGGGAACUGCAUUCGAAACUGGCAGGCUAGAGUCUUGUAGAGGGGGGUAGAAUUCCAGGUGUAGCGGUGAAAUGCGUAGAGAUCUGGAGGAAUACCGGUGGCGAAGGCGGCCCCUUGGACAAAGACUGACGCUCAGGUGCGAAAGCGUGGGGAGCAAACAGGAUUAGAUACCCGGGUAGUC
rnacentral:rRNA from 1 species